ACUCCUACGGGGGGCAGCAGUGGGGAAUAUUGCACAAUGGGGGGAACCCUGAUGCAGCGACGCCGCGUGGGUGAAGAAGUCAUUCGUGACGUAAGGCCCUAUCAGCAGGGAAGAAAAUGACGGUACCUGACUAAGAAGCCCCGGCUAACUACGUGCCAGCAGCCGCGGUAAUACGUAGGGGGGAAGCGUUAUCCGGCUUUACUGGGUGGAAAGGGGGCGUAGACGGUUAUGCAAGUCUGAAGUG
rnacentral:rRNA from 1 species